UGACUUCUUAAGUCGGCCUCCCACAAGUGGCCUCACUAGGUUCUACUAUAAAGGUCCUAGUCUGAAAUGGUCUCGGCACCACAGAGGGGUCAAGCAAGCGGUGUCCGCAAGCCGAACUCGUAGAUAUUUGCUUCUGAAGAACCUUAUAGUUAGUGGUUGGAGAGAGAGGUAAGAGGCAGAGGCAGGAUGAGCAAAGCGGUAAAGAGGAAGGAGUAUGGAAAAGAGGAAGAAAGGAAAGGAGAGAGAAGAAGAGAGAAGAAAGAAG
rnacentral:lncRNA from 1 species